rnacentral:rRNA from 1 species
UACGAAGGGGGCUAGCGUUGCUCGGAAUCACUGGGCGUAAAGCGCACGUAGGCGGAUUGUUAAGUCAGGGGUGAAAUCCUGGAGCUCAACUCCAGAACUGCCUUUGAUACUGGCGAUCUUGAGUCCGGGAGAGGUGAGUGGAACUGCGAGUGUAGAGGUGAAAUUCGUAGAUAUUCGGAAGAACACCAGUGGCGAAGGCGACUUACUGGACACAUAUUGACGCUGAGGUGCGAAAGCGUGGGGAGCAAACAGG